GUGCACUAUGGAGGAGACCCAAGCUAUUGCUCUCUCAGACUAUUUUAAUUGCAAAAUACCCCUCGAUUUGUUGUGUAAACUCUUUUACCAUAAAUCUUACUCCGAUGUAUCAAGUGUAGCUUAUUUUCUGAAAGAAAAUUUUAUCUCCAUGGUAAUUUAGAGAAGUCGUUUUUUGGUUUUUCAAACGGUUUUCAUAAUAUCUAGAAAAAAUCGGGAUAAAAUGUCGGAAAAACAGAAAAUGUACGAAAUGUAAGUAUAAGUUAAAAUAUAUUAUGGCAUUAUUUUUUUGUGUACAACUUUUCUACCAGCAACUUUGUUGCGAUUUAAAAUGAUAGCACUCAUUUUGAACGAAAAUCUUACUGGAAAGGUACUUAAGGGACGUAAUUUUUCGAUUUUCCCAAGAGUUUUCCAAAUAAGUGGGAAAAUCGGUACAAUAUUAAACCAAUAAUAUUAAAGAAAAUAUAUAAUAUUUAUUUAAUUAUUUUACCAUAAUAUGACAUAUAUAUUAUUGACAAAGCAUCACUAUCAACUAAACUGCGCUCAGAAUCGUUUUUCGUUAACAAUGGUUUAUCGUCGCUUACAGAUAUACAUUAAAUUACCUAUAAUUGUGACUCCACCCGUAUUUAUUAUCCUAGAACGUCUUUCUGGUGCUUUCUUUUGAGGUUAGAGUUCGAACUCCUUAAUUACAAUUAUCACUUAUAAUUCUUAUCAGAACUAUAUCAAGGUAAAAUUAGGUCAAUGAUUAUAGUAGCGCGCCCCACUACAACUUUACUACGCACAUUCGCACACUGAUGGAUAGACCAAAUGACGUCCAAGCAUGUUGUCGCGCCGAACAGGUGAUGUUGUCGAGCAACAAUCUAGCAAUCUCGUGAUUAUUACGACUCGCGAGUCAUGAGCUCCACAACUCUAUCGUUUGUUAGGUUAGAUUAUUGCCUGAGAGUUGCUCCCCGCGUUAUGUAGUUUGUGAGUCAUUUUAAAUACCCCGUAACCUAUAUCAAAUAAUUAAUAAAUCAUUUUUUAUUCGUUUUUUUAAGAAUGCAGAGAAAACUAUUGGCGGUAACAGUAAGGGAAAUUGUAGCCGCUGCUAAUCCACCUCCAACUCUACCGCCAUUUCCCACACCGACCCGUCGACUCCUUUAAUUCUUAUAUCUAGCUUUUUCGAGUCGUUAUUAUCCAAGCACCAAUGUAUAUCGUUACGUUUAAUCGACUAAUUUUGUGAUUUGCAGUCGUUUGUUCUUUAGUACGUAUUCUUAUUUAUAUUUUGUAACUUUCUGAUAACUAUGAACUAAUAUAAUGAAGCCCUUGUUUGUUCAGAGAAAAUAAAAAUAUGAACAGGUCAUCUCUACUUGUGCACAUGUUUUUGUUACGAAAACUUUAUAAUAUAAUAUAGGUACAUUUUUGUAUAUUUUUUAAAUCUAAUCUAUUAAAAUUAUAUAAGUUUAGUUAAAGUAUUAAUCUGUUUCCAAUAAAUUGAUAUUAAGUCGCAUGUUGACGUCUAUAGUUUAAAUAAUAAGAUACGCCUAUUUUUUAUCCUCGUAUUUACCUAGAUUAGAAAAUGAUGGUAGUAUGCCUUGAUCAAGUCUCAAAUUCGCAAUUAUAAUUAUUAUUUACUCCGUGAAUAUAUUACAAUCUACAUUCUAAAUGUUAAAUGUAAUAUAAUUUUAAUUGAAAAAAAUUAUCUUGGAAAUGACAUACAUCAUUAUCACGGUUCCUUUUCAAUAUGUAGAUAAAUCUACCAAGUAGUAAAAGAUGACAAUUGUGUUCUGGAUCCUGCCGCCUAGACGUAUGACCUAUCCAUGUUUUUAUUAUCUACUUAUAUUUUUUUAGGAGGGUUUAGUAACCUAACCUUUAAAUACAUUCUAUUGUAUAUGAUUUAAUAUUUAUUAUUAUUUGUUAUGUUUUUGACACAUUUAGAAAUAUAAAUACUUUAUAAUAAAAUAAUAAAGUAAAAACAAAAUUAUGAAAAUUGUUAAUACUUAUAAAUAAAUAUUUUGUUUAUAGAUACUUGUGUGACGUUCUAUGCCAAACCACCUUAGAACAUAUAUUAUAGAUGGAGCCAUAGCCUUAGAAGAUAAUUAAAGGACAUAGGGCUAUCUUCCGCGGUAGCUUAGAGAGGAAGUUUUACUUCCUACCCUAUUGAUAACUUAGUUUCUGGUCACGAAGAAUAACAUCACAGUGUUAAAAGUUAAAAAUUUUUAACCGAUCAUCUGGUUGUUCAUAUUGAAUUUUAUUGUGAUCGAAUUUCGAAUCCAUUGACUAAUUGUUAUUCUUCACUAUAAUGCCAUUCAAGAAGUGUAUAGUGUGCAUACAUGAUUCUGGUAGGUUUAAUAUUAUCUAUAUUUUAUAAACUAAGAAUAAAUAACAAUGUACAGCAUUAUUCACAAAAUGUACCUAGGUAUUCUACACUUAAUCAUUAAAACUAUAUAGUAAUAAUAACAAUACCUAAGACAAAAUUUUUAAUCCUUCAAAAGAGGAUGUUUAGACCCUCUUCUUCAUUUAUAAAUUAAAAGUAAUACAAGUAAAGUUGAUUAAUGAUUUACAGAAUAUAUCAGAAUGAAACUCGUAGCCUGCUUAUCUAACGUGCACAUUGGAUAUAGUGACUGUGCACGGCGAGCCCAAUACCGUAUUCAAAUUAGAAAUCGGAAACCAUUUCCUUCUUGACUUCUGAUCAGAAACUACGGCUGAACCAUCUACAAUGAAAGUAUUAGAGUUGCAAAACAUAAUAUCUGGAAAAUAUA